CCCCUAGUAACGGCGAGUGAAGAGGGAAGAGCUCAAAUUUGAAAGCUGGUACCUUCGGUAUCCGCGUUGUAACCUCGAGACACGUUUUCCGUGCGGCGCUAUGGACAAGUUCCUUGGAACAGGACAUCGUAGAGGGUGAAAAUCCCGUACUUGCCAUGGAUGUACCGUGCUUUGCGAUACGUGCUCUAAGAGUCGAGUUGUUUGGGAUUGCAGCUCAAAAUGGGUGGUAGACUCCAUCUAAAGCUAAAUAUCGGGGAGAGACCGAUAGCGAACAAGUACCGUGAGGGAAAGAUGAAAAGCACUUUGGAAAGAGAGUUAAAAGUACGUGAAAUUGUCGAAAGGGAAGCGCUUGAAGUCAGCCAUGCCGCUCAGGACUCAGCCUGGCUUUUGCUUGGUGUAUUUCCUGGGUAGCAAGUCAGCAUUGGUUUGGAUCGUCGGAGAAGCAUAGUUGGAAUGUGGCGCCCUCGGGCGUGUUAUAGCCUUCUAUUGGAUACGACGAUCUGGACCAAGGAACGCAGCGCGCCUUAUGGCGGGUCUUCGGACACCUUCGCGCUUAG
rnacentral:rRNA from 1 species